CCAUUUGAUUUUUUCAUCCCAUUCGGAUUCCCGCCUCCCAUUUAUCGCUCUUGAUGUCUUCUUCCACCUUCAAAGCCUGCUAUCACCCCUCCCUCCUUUGCUCUGGGCGUCGAUGUCGUCAUUGCACAUACACUGUCCAUCGCAUCACCCAUUUGUACCCAGCACCGGCCAUCGCCCUUUCUCUACUCUGGGUCCCAUGUCGCUGUCGCACAUCCUCAGUCCAACACCCCUCGUUGUCAUCAAUCAUCCUCUGCAAGACAAACAACUUUGCAAGAAUUUGGUAAGUUUCCAUCUGAUGAAUUAAUGGAAGUUUAAUCCAUCCCUCAUAUAUGUCUCUCUCUCUCUCUCUCUCUCUCUCUCUCUCUCUUGCAAAAAUAAUGAUGGAGAUUGAAAAUGGGAUUGGACAAGACUCUGGACACUUGCAGAUCUAAAGAUUUUUGGAAAUAGUUGCAGCCAAAUAGUGGCCGUGGAAGAUGGUUUUGUCUUUGUUGUUGUAUUUGUUUACACUCAGGUUGUAGAAGUACAGUACUUUGUUGUUGUUUUAGUUUGGAAACUGAGCUGGUGGAUUUCCUUUCAUUCAUGUAUGGGGCAUUGUGAGAAUUUUGAAGAAGAUUCUUCAAAAUUUUAAACUGAUUUGUUUUGAUGAGCACAGUUUGUCAAGCAAAAUAUAAACUAUAUGUAUAAACUGAUAAGCAAAGUUUGAUAAGCAAAAUUCAUAACCACAAUUUUUAUCUUA